rnacentral:rRNA from 1 species
CAGCCGUAAACUAUGCGCGUUAGGUGUACUGGUGACCACGAGUCACCGGGUGCCGAAGGGAAACCGUGAAACGUGCCGCCUGGGAAGUACGGUCGCAAGGCUGAAACUUAAGGAUUGGCGGGGAGCACCACAACGGGUGGAGCCUGCGGUUUAAUUGGACUCAACGCCGGAAAUCUCACCGGAUAGGACAGACAUAUGAUAGUCGGGCUGAAGACUCUACUUGAUGAUCUGAGAGGUGGUGCAUGGCGUCAGUGACU